rnacentral:lncRNA from 1 species
UUGCCUUCUGUAUAACAUUUUAUUUGGGGUAUUUUUCCAAUUACAUAUAUUUUUCUGUUACAGGGGUUUUUUUCCAGAAAACAAAAUAAAACAAAACCAACCACAGGUAGUUGCAAAGGAGCAAGACUUCAGUAGCAAAUAAGAAAAAAGCCUCAGGAAAAGUCCAAGGUGCCUUGGAACAGAUGUGUGGGAAAAGUGCUGGGACCAGAGGCUGGAGGGAGCCUGGGGCUGUGACUGAGAGAUGGGAAGAAAAGGGAAGCUGUGGCAGUGCCCAGCAGAGAUGACUGAGUUUAUCCCUUGGGAAAUGGAAUAAGGAUUUGAGUAAAAGAGCAAGCUUUAGUCUUUCAAGUCCUUUGCCAAAGUAACGCAGAUAAGUGUAAAUUUUAUUAUAUCCUACCAACAGCUUUAAGGACAAAAACAUCUUUGCUUCUAAAUACAGUUAAAAUCAGUUUGGGUCUAAAAAAAUUUUAAAAGGUGAAUUUAGCACAGUGCUACCUGAGUAUAAAUGUUGAUUAGGCAGCUUUGCUCCUGGCACACAGAAAUUACUUAAUACAACCACAGUAUCAAACAGAAGAGACACAACAAUAGUGAGCUUUCUGUCCCAUUAUCUUCAAAUAAUGCACUGAGAUUUAUUUCAGCCAUAUUGCAAUAGCUGCAGCAGCUAAUUUAGUGGAAGAAAUAAUAAACAAUACAGAGAAACAAGUCCA